GACGAACGCUGGCGGCGUGCUUAACACAUGCAAGUCGAACGAUGAAACCUAGCUUGCUAGGUCGAUUAGUGGCGAACGGGUGAGUAACACGUGACUAACCUGCCCCUUUCUCUGGGAUAACGCUCCGAAAGGAGUGCUAAUACCGGAUACUCACAUCGAGGCACAUGCCUUGGUGUGGAAAGUUUUUCGGAAAGGGAUGGAGUCGCGGCCUAUCAGCUUGUUGGUGAGGUAACGGCUCACCAAGGCGACGACGGGUAGCCGGCCUGAGAGGGCGACCGGCCACACUGGGACUGAGACACGGCCCAGACUCCUACGGGAGGCAGCAGUGGGGAAUAUUGCACAAUGGGCGCAAGCCUGAUGCAGCGACGCCGCGUGAGGGAUGAAGGUCUUCGGAUUGUAAACCUCUUUCAGUAGGGACGAAGCGAAAGUGACGGCACCUAAAGAAGAAGCACCGGCUAACUACGUGCCAGCAGCCGCCGUAA
rnacentral:rRNA from 1 species